rnacentral:lncRNA from 1 species
CAGAGGACCAAGCGGUGCUCGGUUGGUUAGCCUGCGGGCGUGCGAGCUAACCCGCGCGAGUUCAAUCCUCAGAUCGCGCGUACGUGUGCAAAAAAAGAAGAGUACGUCGCUGCAUCGUGUGUAGAAUGGCCCUGCCUCGCCGGGUCAGCCGGACGCCUCUCGGGCGACUGCAUCGUGUAGAAUGGCCCUGCCUCGCCGGGUUAGCCGGACGCCUCUCGCUCGCCCGAGAGAAGAAUAAGAUAGACAGAGAGAGAAAUAACUCACGUCCAAAAAUAGUUACUGCUCUAUGAUUAUAUUUGCUACUCAUAAAUUAAGCUUUAUAAAGAAAAAGAUUAGAUAUUUACCAGUGCACUUCUAGCUAGCUUGAUUAUUACUAUGAUCGGGUUGCACGUGUUUUCUGGGCUUUUGAACGGCUCGACAUAGUUAAAUUUAUUUAUUUGUAUCAUCAAGUAAUUAAACAACUUAUUCAACGCUAUUCAUCCGUUCAGCGUAAAAGAGAAAGAGAAG